rnacentral:lncRNA from 1 species
ACGAAUCUCGAAUGGAAGAUAAUGAUCAAGAAAUGCCUCUUUGAACUCCUUCCAAGUAGCUGGGGGUGCAUCAAUACCCCUAGAUCGUUUCCAGUCCUCAUACCAAUAUAUAGCCUCCCCUUUAAAUCUAUACGCCGCUAACUCCACUGUCUCUCUACCCGUUACAUGCAUAACAUCCAAGGCCCUUUGAAUUUGAUCGAUAAAGUCCUGUGGGUCCUCGUUAAGAUCUGAUCCAGUAAAAGUGGGAGGAUCCAUCUUAAGAAAAUCCUGUGUUCGAAGGCUAGCCGCCCUAUCUAUACCACUAGGACCUGCAGUAGGAAUGGCUUGCCCUUGAGCUUGCCCAGCAACUAUACGAGUCAAAAGUUGCACUGCAUUUCUAAGAUCUUGAUCAACAAUAUUAAUAGGUGGCUCUGCGGAUAUAGUUCUCCUCCCCCUUAUUUCUUCCGGAGUGGAAGAAGUUUCUGAUGCAUGCUUAGCUGGAGCCUCACUUUGAUUAGCUGGUAUAGUGGGUGAAUUACUAGUCCCCUCUCCGGCAGCCACAUCUACUUGCUUACCGGUAUU